GUGCUCACUUCGUCAUAUACUAAAAUUGAAACAAUACAGAGAAGAUUAGCAUGGCCCCUGUGCAAGGAUGACAUGCAAAUUCAUGAAGCAUUCCAUAUUUUC
rnacentral:snRNA from 1 species